rnacentral:rRNA from 1 species
UUUUACGGAGAGUUUGAUCCUGGCUCAGGACGAACGCUGGCGGCGUGCUUAACACAUGCAAGUCGAACGAUGAAGCCGGAGCUUGCUCUGGUGGAUUAGUGGCGAACGGGUGAGUAACACGUGAGUAACCUGCCCAUGACUCUGGGAUAACUGCGGGAAACUGUAGCUAAUACCGGAUACGACCCUUGGAGGCAUCUCCUGAGGGUGGAAAGAAUUUCGGUCAUGGAUGGACUCGCGGCCUAUCAGCUAGUUGGUGAGGUAACGGCUCACCAAGGCGACGACGGGUAGCCGGCCUGAGAGGGUGACCGGCCACACUGGGACUGAGACACGGCCCAGACUCCUACGGGAGGC